rnacentral:rRNA from 1 species
UACGGGGGGGCAAGCGUUGUUCGGAAUUACUGGGCGUAAAGGCUCGUAGGUGGCCAACUAAGUCAGACGUGAAAUCCCUCGGCUUAACCGGGGAACUGCGUCUGAUACUGGAUGGCUGGGAGUUUGGGAGAGGGAUGCGGAAUUCCAGGUGUAGCGGUGAAAUGCGUAGAUAUCUGGAGGAACACCGGUGGCGAGGCGGCAUCCUGGACCAACACUGGACGCUGAGGAGCGAAAGCCAGGG